rnacentral:rRNA from 1 species
AAGGAAAGAGGGAGGCAUGCCUAACACAUGCAAGUCGAACGAUUCUUUCGGGCCUAGUGGCGCACGGGUGCGUAACGCGUGGGAACCUGCCCUUGGGUUCGGAUUAACUUCGGGAAUUAGCUGCUAAUACCGGCUCUUGUCUUCGGUCCAAAGAUUUAUCGCCCUUGGAUGAGCCGGCGUGGUAUUAGAUAGUUGGUAGGGUAAUUGCCUACCAAGGCGUCGUUACGUAGCUGGUCUGAGAGGCUGAGCAGCCACACUGGGACUGAGACACGGUCCAGACUCCUACGGGAUGCAGCAGUGGGGAAUAUUGGACAAUGGGCGGUAGCCUGAUGCAGCAAUGAUGCGUGAGUGAUGAAGGCCGGAGGGUUGGAAAGCUAGUUUACACGGGAUGAUAAUGACAGUACCGGGAGAAUAAGCACCGGCUAACUCCGUG